CUCACCAUGGCGACGAUUGGUAGCCGGACUGAGAGGUUGAACGGCCACAUUGGGACUGAGACACGGCCCAGACUCCUACGGGAGGCAGCAGUGGGGAAUAUUGCACAAUGGAGGAAACUCUGAUGCAGCGACGCCGCGUGAGCGAUGAAGUAUUUCGGUAUGUAAAGCUCUAUCAGCAGGGAAGAAACUGACGGUACCUGGCUAAGAAGCACCGGCUAAAUAC
rnacentral:rRNA from 1 species